CAGCAGCGACAGCCGCAUCCUCGGCGGGGACGGCGGAGCGCGGGGUGCGAGCCCGCCCGGCCCCGGGGCAGGAGGCGGGAAGGGGUGGACUUGGUCCAAGCCUGGAUUUUCCAAGCAGCAGCAGCAGUCUCACUUAUGACAAAAAAAAAAGGUAUACAUCCUAGCUGAAGAUGUGACAUGUCUUGUGAAAAGAAAACUAUAAGAUUUUGCUGUAGCACACAUUUUGCCACACUUUGUAAAGGUAAAGUUUACCUAAGUGACUUUACAGUGCAAUAUCUAAAAUGUGAAAACUGUCGGUGUUUUGAUAUAAACUUGCCCUUUAAGGAAACAGACUAAUAAAAGUGAAAAGUGUUUGGCCUGAAAUGUGGAUCAGAAGGAAACCAGAGCACUGUUUGUAGGUAAGGUGAAUGUUUGCAUUUUUUACAGUGGCAGUUACAAGGAAGAGGUUGGGAAAAAUGUUUCAAAGUAGUAAAUAGUAAAUACAAAACCAGUCUGUGAGGUACUGCUGUUACUAGUGUUGGACUACAGACUGUUUCAUAGUUCUCUUGGAUUCCUGUUGUUAUCUCUGUAGUCAUACUUGAAGACUUCAAACACAAUAUAAGAAAAUGGUGAAUAUCAACAGGUAAGUACAGCCACCUUAACUGGAGAGAGUUUGGCAUGCAGUAUUAGUGUGAGGAGUUUCACAGAAUCUUUCAUAAUUAGUUUAUCAGUCUGCAUCUUGUUCAUUUAGGAUUUAAUUAAAUAAAAUAAAUAAAUCUGAAAGGCAUUUUCUGUUAACUGAUGUCUUGUACCCAAAAUAUAAGAGAUGAAAUUACUUCUCUCAGAUAAGCAUAGGUAUGGUAUGGGAUACUUUUCCCCCGAAACUCAUUAUUCCAAAAAAAAGAGAGUGAUGGAGAGAGUAAGGUUAGGAAUAAAAAUGAAACUCACAACAAGUACUGGGUGUGCUCCUUUUGGGAACAGUGAGUAAAGGUUCUUGGCUCAGUGACACUUGUUGAACACCUUUCACUAGAAUUUGAAUUCAUUCAGAAUUCAAAUGUGGCACUAAAAGCUGUUUAAAUGAUAACUCAUUCAGUAACAGCUCUCCAUGGCUUGGAAAAAUGACUGUUUCAUGGGUUCUGAAUCACCUCUGUCUGGUGGAAAUGAUGCUUUUCUGCAGAGCUGGAAGGGAGGGGAGGCGCCUCAAGACAAAUCCAAAGCAAUGCAGCAAAUGUUACUGGUGACUCAGUGGGACUCUGUUUUCUCUCUUGAGGGCCAAACUGCAUUUUGCAAGUCCCUAAGGACAGCAGAGCAUGCAGGCACCGUGUCCUUAACAGAAUAUCAAAGUUAGCUCCAAAACUCACCUACUGCAUUCUGAACUCUUCUCUUUUCUUUCUUUCAAUAGGAACGAAAUUCUUGUUGCUUUUUUGUGGAGUUAAUUGUCCUUUUGUGCAUGCUUGUUUGCAUCUCCUGGAACACAUGCAGGGCAGGUCCCUGGCUUUUCCUGCUUUCGACUGGCAGCAUAUUUGUUGUCAGAGCCAUGGAUGGUGGGCUCUUCUGUGCUGUGUAGGCCACACAGUCAUGACAGAGAAGUAGGGUGGCACAUGACAUUACACAGAAUUAAAAGUUAAAUGAUGCUUUAGUGUUUUUCUGGGGAUCUAGAUGCUGGAAGUACCAUUUGAAUGAUAUCUAAAUAUAAAUUUAUGAGCCUAUAACCACUAAAAUGCAUACUUAACUGCUUGAGUAGAAGAAUAUUUUCCACUCUGUCUUGUCCCAAUCCAUACUGGGUAAUUAUGUGCCAUCUCUUUAAAUCUCUAUGUGCCUCUUAGUUAAAGUCACAAAGCAUUCCAAUUCACACACAGUUCUAAAUCCUAUUAUUCUAAUGCACCUUGGUGUAUUCAUAAGUCUUACAAGUUUCUUCAGAGUAAAUUCUAUGUAAUUCAAAUUUCUUGUUUCUUUAGUAUGACUAAAAAUCAGAAACACUCACUGCUGUUAUAACCUAACUGUACAAAUUGUGUAAGUUAAAGACCCUCUGACCAUUGAGGUCUCUAAAUUAGGAGCACAUGUUUAAUAUUCAUCCUCAGUUCCUCGUAGGAGUAUUUUGAAAAGAAAUCCAAAGUGUACUUUAAACUGGAGUAAUAAACACUGUUUAUUUAUCA